UUGCUUGAUGUGGAUCCAAUUUGACAGGCUUGCUCUCUUUUGCUCCAAUAAGGCAGUUUUAGGGGGAUUUUCUCUAAAUAGUCCUUUUACACCGUUUUCUGCAAAAUAAUAUUAAAAGCACUAAAUUAAGCAGAAAUCAUGUAAAUAUUCAUCAAUAAUAUUAAUAUAAAAUGGACAAAAUUAUGCUUUAUCAAAUACCCCCACACUUAACCUUUUGCUUAUCCUCAAGCAAAUAAAUAUAGUCAAACAAGCUUUCUUUGCUCUAGAUCCUUAUUUCCACUUAAACUCUUACUCAAGACACCUAUUUUGAAGCAUUGCAGUGAAGAAUAUAUGCAUGAAGAUUACUCACCUUCUUUCCUUGUUUCCCUUUACUCACCAUGGCUAGGAUUUGUUUUCCUCAAGAGAGACCAUACAUGCACAUUUUUGUUAAGACUUUUUCUAGCUUUCAGAGUGACUUGCCCUUACCUUGAAGUACUUUAUUCAAGCUUUUGCACUUAGAUUUUUCUUAAAAAAGUCAUCAACCUUUUGACGUGAAGGUACAUAUUUGUGAUACUCACCCCCAGUUACUCAGUUGGUCACCUUUUCAAGUGGCUACUAGCUCUGUUCUUAGUCUUUUGACCAUUGGAACAAUUUUUUACUUUGUGCUUUUGAGGUCUUUGCCUUUACUGAAUUUUCUUUCUCUCAAUGAUUUGGGCAAAUCAACACCAAUUGCUAAAUCAAGUCACAUUAAGUUCAUUCACACAACUUUCAAUUUAUUCUCAUCAAUUG
rnacentral:lncRNA from 1 species